rnacentral:pre_miRNA from 1 species
GAAACCAACACAAAGGUAACUAUUGUUUCCAGACAGUUACUUGUGUGUUGGUUUAAU